rfam:Procavia capensis cont1.263921, whole genome shotgun sequence.
UGUCCAUUCAUCUGACCCACUGCACUGGGCCUGGGGCUGCAGGCGGCAGAGGCAUUCCACUAGCCCACAGUGACACUGCCUGGUGGGACAGUUCUCUGCAGC